GAUAAACGCUAGCGGCAGGCUUAACACAUGCAAGUCGAGGGGCAGCAUAGAUUGUAGCAAUACAAUUGGUGGCGACCGGCGCACGGGUGCGUAACGCGUAUGCGACCUACCCGUCACAGGGGGAUAAUCCGGAGAAAUCUGGUCUAAUACCCCAUAACAUAUGGAUCGGCAUCGGUUCAUGUUGAAAUUUUCGGAGGUGACGGAUGGGCAUGCGUAGCAUUAGCUUGUUGGUGAGGUAACGGCUCACCAAGGCGACGAUGCUUAGGGGGACCGAGAGGUUUUCCCCCCACACUGGUACUGAGACACGGACCAGACUCCUACGGGAGGCAGCAGUGAGGAAUAUUGGUCAAUGGGCGCAAGCCUGAACCGGCCAUGCCGCGUGCAGGAUGACGGCUCUAUGAGUUGUAAACUGCUUUUGUACGAGGGUAAAGUGGGUUACGUGUAACCUUUUGAAAGUAUCGUACGAAUAAGGAUCGGCUAACUCCGUGCCAGCCGCCGCCGUAA
rnacentral:rRNA from 1 species